GCGUCAUUAUCACCCCUCAAGCCUAGCUUGGUGUUGAGGCCUGCUGUCAAGGCAGCCUCUAAAAUCAGUGGCAGUGCUGUCAGGCUCUAAGCGUAGUAAAAUAAAUCGCUAUAGCGUCCUGGUGGAUACUCGUCAGAACCCCCCCAUUUUUUAAUGAUUGACCUCGGAUUAGGUAGGGAUACCCGCUGAACUUAAGCAUAUCAAUAAGCGGAGGAAAAGAAACCAACAGGGAUUGCCUCAGUAACGGCGAGUGAAGCGGCAAAAGCUCAAAUUUGAAAUCUGGCUCUUUUAGGGUCCGAGUUGUAAUUUGUAGAAGAUGUUUCGGGUGUGGCUCCGGUUUAAGUUCUUUGGAAUAUUACAUCAUAGAGGGUGAGAAUCCCGUAUGUGACCGGCAGCCUCCGCCUAUGUGAAACUCUUUCGACGAGUCGAGUUGUUUGGGAAUGCAGCUCAAAAUGGGAGGUAUAUUUCUUCUAAAGCUAAAUAUUGGCCAGAGACCGAUAGCGCACAAGUAGAGUGAUCGAAAGAUGAAAAGCACUUUGGAAAGAGGGUUAAACAGUACGUGAAAUUGUUGAAAGGGAAGCGCUUGCAACCAGACUUGCACGCAGUUGAUCAUCCGGUGUUCUCACCGGGGCACUCUGCUGCGUUCAGGCCAGCAUCGGUUUUGGUGGUUGGAUAAAGGCCUUGGGAAUGUGGCUUCCUUCGGGGAGUGUUAUAGCCCUCGGUGCAAUGCAGCCU
rnacentral:rRNA from 1 species